UUGAAAGGGAAACGAUUGAAGUCAGUCGUACCAGCGGGAAAUCAACCUUUCGAGUGGGGGUUUUGGAGUUUUUUGAAGAGUGUCAAAACCUUUGAGAUUUCAAAAUAUUCGCUCUUUUGGUGUACUUUCUCGUGGGUAGGUUAACAUCGAUUUUGAUCAUCAUAAAAAGAUUGGAGGAAUGUAGCUUCGAUCUUGUAUUGAAGUGUUAUAGCCUUUGGUAAAUGUGAUGAUUAGGAUCGAGGAUUGCAACGAAUACCCUUUUGGGCUAUCCGCCUGAUCUCUGAUANGUGGCCUUGGUAUUGAAAGCGUGCUUAUGGUAUUGAGGUAUUACGGUCAAAAGGUUAGAACGGAUUACAUNCGUUAAGGAUGUUGACGUA
rnacentral:rRNA from 1 species